AUUGUUAACGGUUCUAACCGUCACGUUUCCCUCUCCUCAGACCUCCCGCUGAGGGAGAGCGAGACGGGGCUUUCCUGGAGGCUGAGGCUGGUCCCGGUCUCGCCAGAAGAGGCAGCCCGCGUACAGCGCCUAGCUCUGCCACUCGCCCCACCAUCCGAGGCCUGCCUGGGCCCACAAUGCUCCCCCAAAGUUACAGCCCCUUGGUUGCUAAAUUUUUGUUUAUGCUGAGAUCUUGUAUACUGAACUCCUGACAUCACCAAAGCAAGAGUCUGUCCACAUGGCAAAAGGUUGCUGGUCAAUGUCACUGGUCAUAGGUUUCUAAAGAGAGGGCCUGCAGGUUAAGUGGUUGGUAUACAGAGGGUAAUGUACCUGGGUCCUGCUCUAAGAAUCACAAGAUGACUGACACAGGAACCGACAAGAGGCCAAACACCUGAAUUGGGUGCAUUCAGGGACCAGAAAGGCAUAGAGAUGCAGGUAGCCCCAUAACUACUGAAAUAUGGAUAUUUAAGAUCUGAAAAUAAGGAUUUCAGAGUUGUGGAUCAAAAGAUAAAAGAGCUCAUUUAUGUCAAGUCUCCACUUCCCAGGCAUUUCUUUGGCUUUCUACCAUGUAAGAGUUAUUGGAAUUUGUAAAUGGGUGUUAUGGAUAAAAUGUAAUGAAUAGGCCUGAGUUCUGUCAUAUGAAACAAAACUAAACAUGCUGGAUUACACUUACAAGUUAGCAACAAAAAUACUGCAAGC